rnacentral:lncRNA from 1 species
ACUCUUUGAAAAGGGCUCAGCAUUGACUCCUGAGACUCUCUUUCAGAUGCUCUUCUUACUUUUCUGUUCCAGUGGUCACUGCUUAGAAAGUCUGUAGACAAUACAUGCCUGUCUCUGAUUUUUUCAUUUUGACUGAAGAACAUUACACUGUGUAAAAUUCUAGAAUUCAUGACAGCUGAUGAGAAUACCUUAAAACCCUUUGCCUACUGAGAGAAUAUUACGGCAGACUUUUAUCUCCUGCACUGGGAUACUCAGAAAUUGGCCUGCAUGAGUAUCUUUGCUUGAUAGAUAUUUGAAGUACAAAAUUCUUCAUUAAAG